rnacentral:misc_RNA from 1 species
GGCUAAUGUAUUUAACAGCUAAACGCGAUUGGUGAAAUCUUGGAGCUUCAUAGAAGCUUCUUGGCAAGAGGCACGACACCAACAUUCAAAGUACCACAAACACACGCAAAGAAACAUUUCCUCCUUUCUAAUCAACCCAAGCCACCCAGUCAAAAGAUUCAUCAUCAUCAUCACCCAUCAUUCCCUUUCUGUAAACAAACCUCAACCACAAGGAAACACCACCCAAAACUCUCAUUUUUUUCUCUAACCUUAUCAAAAAUGGUUCCCAUCAUAAAUAAAUACUCGUUAAA